rnacentral:rRNA from 1 species
AUUGAACGCUGGCGGCAGGCCUAACACAUGCAAGUCGAGCGGGGUUUUCGGACCUAGCGGCGGACGGGUGGGUAAUGCGUAGGAAGCUGCCCGAUAGAGGGGGAUACCAGUUGGAAACGACUGUUAAUACCGCAUAAUGUCUACGGACCAAAGUGUGGGACCUUCGGGCCACAUGCUAUCGGAUGCGCCUACGUGGGAUU